rfam:Gregarina niphandrodes unplaced genomic scaffold scaffold00110, whole genome shotgun sequence.
AAGAUUUGAGUAUCGUAAGAGGACUCCCUUAACUUAAGCAUAUCAAUAAGGGAAGGAAGAAAAAUAACAAUGAUUUCUUAAGUAAUGGCGAAUGAAAAAGAAAAAGACCAAGUUGAUAAGAAUGGAUAAUUGUAAAAGGGUUAGAAGAAUACAGCAAUGUAUGAGGCUAGUCUUAAAUUAUUCAGAGUGUAACUAAUAGAAAAGCUAUAUUUAAAAGGGAUAAUUUAAAUUGAAUUCAGAACGAAUAUUGAGCCAGAGAGAGUGAAAGCCUCGUCAAUUUAGAUAUAUCUUGAAAAGAAUAUGGUUUAGAAAAGAGUAAAUUUAUUUGGAAGUAUAAAUCGAAAAGGUGAUAGUAUUCAUCAAAGUCUAAAUAUUACAGGAAAACUGAUAGCAAAGAAGUACUGUGAAGGAAAACUUAAAAGAACUUUGGAAAAAGAGUGAAAAGAGCUUGAAAGAGUAAUAUGUGAACGGAUAAUUUAUAAGAAAAAUAGUGGAAUAUGUUAUAAAUAAAGAUGUGAAAAGAUUAGAUAUAUAAGUAGUAUAUUUAAUAAGAUUAUGUUGAAAUUUAUAAUAUAAGAAAUUAUUAAGAGCAAGAGAAUUAUUUCAUUUAUAGUGAUUAUUAAUAAACGAGGAUAUUAGGAGAAAUCUUAGUAUUCAAUUGUGAAUUAAAAGUAAAAAUCCGAUAAUAAUGGAAUGAUAAAAGCUAUUUAAGGUAAGAUUAAUAAAUUUAAUCCCGAGAAUAGAAACUCUUGAAGAAGUAAAUUAUCUACCCGUCUUGAAACACGGACCAAGGAGUCUAACAUGGAUGCGAAUGAGAAUAGCAGGAAAGCUAUAACAUGAAGAGAAAACGAAAAACUAUGAGAGUGUAGAAAUACAUUUAGCAAUAGUAUCUUUCAAUAGAAGAAGUAAAUAUGUUAGGACCCGAAAGAUGGUGAACUAUACUUGAACGGAUUGAAGCCGAAGGAAACUUUGGUGGAAGAUUCACGCAGUGUUAACGUGCAAAUUACUUGUCAUAUUUGAGUAUAGGGGCGAAAGACUCAUCGAACUAUCUAGUAGCUGGUUCCACCUGAAUAUUCCCUUAGGAAGGUCAAAGUAUUAAUAGUAUUGAUUGGUAAAGAUAAUGAUUAGGUGUAAUGGGUGAGUAUAUUCACUCAACAUCUUGUCAAACUAUGAAUAAACAAAGAAGAAUUCUCAGUGUUAAAUACACUUCAGGAAUUUAAAUAUAAACAUACUUUGAAUCGGCCAAGUCUGGUAAGCAGGACUGGCGAUGCGGGAUGAACCGAACGUCGAGAUAAAGUGCCAAAAAGAAACAUAACGAGUACCACAAAAGGUAUUCAUUCAUAUUGACAAUAGGACGGUGGCCAUGGAAGUCGGAAACCGCUAAGGAAUGUGUAACAACUCACCUAUCGAAUGAAUGAGUCCUGAAAAUGGAUGGCAUUAUAAUUUCUUAACUGAUACUCGACCGUUAAAAUGAAGACAUUUUAACGAGUAAGGAAACGAAAUGGCGUAAGGACAACAAAAGUAGUAAAGAUUUAAAGUAAUUUAGAUUGAAACUGUCCUUAGUGCAGAUCUUGGUGGUAGUAGCAAAUACUAAGAAGAGGAAAAAAACAUCUUAGAACUGAAGAGGAGAAAGGUUCCUAAACAACAUUACUUGGAUUAGGGUGAAUCGAUCCUAAAUUACAGAUGGAAAUCCUUAAGAAAUAUAUAAGUGACAUAUAGUCAAUAUAAGGAUUGAAAGGGAAUAAGAUUAAUAGUUCUUAAUCAAGAGAAUUAAUGAUUAAAUCUUAGAAAUAAGAUUAAAUCGAAUAAAAUGGUAACAUAUCAUGAACUUUAAAAUGGAGUGUGAAAAUCUACGGAAGAGUUCUCUUUUCUUCUUAACAAAAGUAAAUUCCACUGAAAUGAAUCAAUCAGAGAAGUGGAAUUUAUUGGCUUUGUAAGAAAUUCAACAUAUGAUUGAAUUGUGGUAUUUUUGCAGUCUUCAUAAAAAUUAAAGGGAAUCUUAGCAUAAAGCUAAUUAAAGAAUUCUUUUGCUCGUACUAAUAACCGCAACAGGUCUCCAAGAAGCAAAAUCUUUAGUUAAAUAGAAUAACGCAGGUAAGGGAAGUCGGCAACAUAGCUCUGUAAGUUAGCAAGAAAGAGUAGCUCUGGUGAUUUCCUUGUAAAAGGAUUAAAAUCGAAUCAGAACUUUAAAGGUUAGGGGAAUCCGACUGUUUAAUAAAAACAUAGCAUUCUGAUAAAUCUAAAAGGUUCAUUACAGAAUGUGAUUUCUGCCCAGUGCUCUGAAUGUCAAGGUAAUGAAAUUUACUUAAGCGCGGGUUAACGGCGGGAGUAACUAUGACUCUCUUAAGGUAGCCAAAUGCCUCGUCAUCUAAUUAGUGACGCGCAUGAAUGGAUCACCGUGAUUCCCACUGUCCCUAUCUGCAAUCUAGUGAAACCACAGUCAAGGGAACGGGCUUGAUUGGAACGGCGGGGAAAGAAGACCCUGUUGAGCUUGACUCUAAUUUAUCAUGUGAAAUCGAUUUUUUGGUAUAGGCUAGGUGGGAGACUUUGUCAAACGUGUAAUACCACCACUAGAAAUACUAUUUCACUCAUUUCGUUAAAUGUUAAAAUGGAUUUUCCAUUAAUUUAAAAACAUUAAAACUUCGGUUGAAACAGGCGAUUGAAAGAGAUAGACGGGGAGUUUGGCUGGGGCGGCACAUCUGUUACAAGAUAACGCAGGUGUCCAAAGAUGAACUCAAUGAGGACAGAAACCUCAUGUAGAAUAUAAGGGUAUAAGUUCAUUUGAUUAUUGAUUCCAGUACAAUCAAUAACUCUGAAAUGAUGGCCUAACGAUCCCUAAGAUUUUUAAUUAGAAAGAAUUUAAAACAUAUUAGAUUUAUCUGAUGUGUGAGACCGUAAGGUGAUUUCUAGUUAAUCCUUUAAUAAUAAGGCUUGGGGUGUCAGAAAAGUUACCACAGGGAUAACUGGCUUGUGGCAGCCAAGCGCUCAUAGCGACGUUGCUUUUUGAUCCUUCGAUGUCGGCUCUUCCUAUCCAUUUCAAGCAGAAUUGAAAAAAGGUAUGAUUGUUCACCAUUUAAUAGGGAACGUGAGCUGGGUUUAGACCGUCGUGAGACAGGUUAGUUUUACCCUACCGUUUCGGUAGAUUUUCAAAGUAUUUAGAUAGUAGCACAACUCAGUACGAGAGGAACCGUUGUGUCACGCCACUGGAUUAUUCAAUUAUUUGAUCAAAUAGUGUUGAGAAUCUAACACGUGUUGAAAUAAUGGCUGAAAGCCUCUCAAGCCAGAAUUUCGUCUAGAUGAAUACUUUGUCUUUUUCUUGUUACUUUAGUACAAUUGAAAAUUAUAUACGUUGUAUUUAUUAUCUCGUGUAUUACUCUAUCAAAAGGGUAGUGAAUACUGAGUUAACAAAAUUUAAAGCAUAACUGUUGCUUAUAGACGAUGGCAUCAGAAAUCGGUGUUGUAAGCUUUAGAGUUUCUUAAUCAAUACUCUCGGGUAUUGAAUGAAACGAUUUGCUGAGACUUAACCGUAAUUUCUAUUUAAAUUU